AUUGAACGCUGGCGGCAUGCUUUACACAUGCAAGUCGAGCGGCAGCGCGGGGGCAACCCUGGCGGCGAGCGGCGAACGGGUGAGGAAUACAUCGGAACGUGCCCGAGAGUGGGGGAUAACGCCGCGAAAGCGGCGCCAAAUACCGCAUAUUCUCUGAGGAGGAAAGUGGGGACCGCAAGGCCUCACGCCCACGGAGCGGCCGAUGUCGGAUUAGCUAGUUGGUGGGGUAAAGGCUUACCAAGGCGACGAUCCGUAGCUGGUCUGAGAGGAUGAUCAGCCACACUGGGACUGAGACAACGGCCCCAGACUCCUACGGGAGGCAGCAGUGGGGAA
rnacentral:rRNA from 1 species